rnacentral:rRNA from 1 species
GAUGAACGCUGGCGGCGUGCCUAAUACAUGCAAGUCGAGCGAACGGACGAGAAGCUUGCUUCUCUGAUGUUAGCGGCGGACGGGUGAGUAACACGUGGAUAACCUACCUAUAAGACUGGGAUAACUUCGGGAAACCGGAGCUAAUACCGGAUAAUAUUUUGAACCGCAUGGUUCAAAAGUGAAAGACGGUCUUGCUGUCACUUAUAGAUGGAUCCGCGCUGCAUUAGCUAGUUGGUAAGGUAACGGCUUACCAAGGCAACGAUGCAUAGCCGACCUGAGAGGGUGAUCGGCCACACUGGAACUGAGACACGGUCCAGACUCCUACGGGAGGCAGCAGUAGGGAAUCUUCCGCAAUGGGCGAAAGCCUGACGGAGCAACGCCGCGUGAGUGAUGAAGGUCUUCGGAUCGUAAAACUCUGUUAUUAGGGAAGAACAUAUGUGUAAGUAACUGUGCACAUCUUGACGGUACCUAAUCAGAAAGCCACGGCUAACUACGUGCCAGCAGCCGCGGUAAUACGUAGGUGGCAAGCGUUAUCCGGAAUUAUUGGGCGUAAAGCGCGCGUAGGCGGUUUUUUAAGUCUGAUGUGAAAGCCCACGGCUCAACCGUGGAGGGUCAUUGGAAACUGGAAAACUUGAGUGCAGAAGAGGAAAGUGGAAUUCCAUGUGUAGCGGUGAAAUGCGCAGAGAUAUGGAGGAACACCAGUGGCGAAGGCGACUUUCUGGUCUGUAACUGACGCUGAUGUGCGAAAGCGUGGGGAUCAAACAGGAUUAGAUACCCUGGUAGUCCACGCCGUAAACGAUGAGUGCUAAGUGUUAGGGGGUUUCCGCCCCUUAGUGCUGCAGCUAACGCAUUAAGCACUCCGCCUGGGGAGUACGACCGCAAGGUUGAAACUCAAAGGAAUUGACGGGGACCCGCACAAGCGGUGGAGCAUGUGGUUUAAUUCGAAGCAACGCGAAGAACCUUACCAAAUCUUGACAUCCUUUGACAACUCUAGAGAUAGAGCCUUCCCCUUCGGGGGACAAAGUGACAGGUGGUGCAUGGUUGUCGUCAGCUCGUGUCGUGAGAUGUUGGGUUAAGUCCCGCAACGAGCGCAACCCUUAAACUUAGUUGCCAUCAUUAAGUUGGGCACUCUAAGUUGACUGCCGGUGACAAACCGGAGGAAGGUGGGGAUGACGUCAAAUCAUCAUGCCCCUUAUGAUUUGGGCUACACACGUGCUACAAUGGACAAUACAAAGGGCAGCGAAACCGCGAGGUCAAGCAAAUCCCAUAAAGUUGUUCUCAGUUCGGAUUGUAGUCUGCAACUCGACUACAUGAAGCUGGAAUCGCUAGUAAUCGUAGAUCAGCAUGCUACGGUGAAUACGUUCCCGGGUCU